rnacentral:lncRNA from 1 species
AAAUGUUCUUGGAACAGUCUUUAGUUGGGAGGGUUCGAACUCUAGGGUGAGGAGUUCAGGAAUGUAUUCUGGGGUGAAGAGUUCAGGAGUGUUCUGGGAACAAUCUCUGGAUGGAAGGGGUCGGGCUCUGGGGUGAGGAAGAGUUCAGUAAAAUUUUUUUAUCUUUAUUCUUCAACUCCAGCUUGUUUCUUCAUACCAUUUGCUUGGAAAAUUGUUUUCCAGCCUUUCAUUCUAAGGUAGUGUCUAUCUUUUUCUCUGAGAUGAGUUUCCUGUAAGCAGCAAAAUGUUGGGUCUUGUUUGUGUAGCCAGUUUGUUAGUCUAUGUCUUUUUAUUGGGGAGUUGAGACCAUUGAUAUUAAGAGAUAUUAAGGAAAAGUAAUUGUUGGCUCCUCUUAUUUUUGUUGUUAAAUUUGGCAUUCUGUUUUUGUGGCUGUCUUCUUUUAGGUUUGUUGAGGGAUUACCUUCUUGUUUUUUCUAGGGCGAGGUUCCUGUCCUUGUAUUGGUUUUUUUCUGUUAUUAUCCUUUGAAGGGCUGGAUUCGUGGAAAGGUAGUGUGUGAAUUUGGUUUUGUCGUGGAAUACUUUGGUUUCUCCAUCUAUGGUAAUUGAGAGUUUGGCUGGGUAUAGUAGCCUUGGCUGGAAUUUGUGUUCUCUUAGUGUCUGUAUAACAUCUGUCCAGGCUCUUCUGGCUUUCAUAGUCUCUGGUGAAAAAUCUGGUGUAAUUCUGAUUGGCUUGCCUUUAUAAGUUACUUGACCUUUUUCCUUUACUGCUUUUAGUAUUCUAUCUUUAUUUAGUGCAUUUUUUGUUCUGAUUAUUAUGUGUCGGGAGGAAUUUCUUUUCUGGUCCAGUCUAUUUGGAGUUCUGUAUGCUUCUUGUAUGUUCAUGGGCAUCUCUUUCUUUAGAUUUGGGAAGUUUUCUUCUAUAAUUUUGUUGAAGAUAUUUGCUGGUCCUUUGAGUUGAAAAUCUUCAUUUUCAUCCACCCCUAUUAUCCGUAGGUUUGGUCUUCUCAUUGUGUUCUGGAUUUCCUGGAUAUUUUGAGUUAGGAUCUUUUUGCAAUUUCCAUUUUCUUUGAUUGUUGUGCCGAUGUUCUCUAUGGAAUCUUCUGCACCUGAUAUUCUCUCUUCCAUCUCUUGUAUUCUGUUGCUGAUGCUCGAAUCUAUGGUUCCAGAUUUCUUUCCUAGGGUUUCUAUCUCCAGUGUUGCCUCACUUUGAGUUUUCUUUAUUGUGUCUACUUCCCUUUUUAGGUCUAGUAUGGUUUUGUUCAUUUCCAUCACCUGUUUGGAUGUGUUUUCCUCUUUUUCUGUAAGGACUUCUACCUGUUUGAUUGUGUUUUCCUUUAAGGACUUGUAACUCUUUAGCAGUGUUCUCCUGUAUUUCUUUAAGUGCGUUAUUAAAGUCCUUCUUGAUGUCCUCUACCAUCAUCAUGAGAUAUGCUUUUAAAUCUGGGUCUAGGUUUUCGGGUGUGUUGGGGUGCCCUGGACUGGGCGAAGUGGGAGUGCUGGGUUCUGAUGAUGGUGAGUGGUCUUGGUUCCUGUUAGUAAGAUUCCUACGUUUACCUUUUGCCAUUUGGUAAUCUCUGGAGUUAGUUGUUAUAGUUGACUCUGUUUAGAGAUUGUUCUUCUGGUGAUUCUGUUACCGUCUAUCAGCAGACCUGGGAGACAGACUCUCUCCUCUGAGUUUCAGUGCUCAGAGCACUCUCUGCUGGCAAGCUCUCCUCUUACAGGGAAGGUGCGCAGAUAUCUUGUGUUUGGACCUCCUCCUGGCCGAAGAAGAAGGCCGAAAACAGGACCUUUCCCAGAAGCUGUGUUGCUUUGGCAGGUCCCAGAAGCUGUCAGCUUCUGUGGUGCACACUCUCAUCUGUGCAGACUAAGUUCCUAAGUUUGGUGGAGUCCCGGAACCAAGGUGGCGCCCACUGCUCCUGAGGCUGAGGGCUUCCAAGCCAGGCGGACACCUGUCCUCUGGUCGGCACGGUGGCCGGCUGUCUGCGGCCCGAAAAGGGUGCUGCCUCAGCAGCCCUGUGGCUCCGCCUGUCCCAGAAGCUGUCUGGUUCUGUGGUGCACCCUCUCACCUGUUUAGACUAAUUUCCUAAGUUCGGCGGAGUCCCCAAGGUCUCAAUUCUUGUGUGGAAUUGAAGGCAGGUGGUCGGCAGGGGAGAUGUCUGAGUUAAGCUAUCACCUGCACCAGAGUCCAGCAGCAUCUGGUCUGAAGCGAGUUCAUGUUGUGAAAAUGAGGCCAGAGGUGCAAAAGAAAUGAAGUUAUUCAAUAUGUGGCCUUCCAAAUGGAUGGAUCUAGAGGAUAUCACCCUGAGUGAGUGACUUGUGUUAAAGACUGAAAUUGGAGCUACCAUGGCUGUACGAGAGGCCCAACAAGCAGCUGACUGAGACAGAUGCAGAUACUUACACCCAACCAAUGGGCUGAAGUCGGGAACACCUGUGUUUGAAUUAGGGAAAGGCUGGAAGAAGUUGAGGAGGAGGGUGACGUCAUAGGAAGACCAGCAGUCUCAACUAACCUGGACCCCCUAGGUGGGAGAUGGGGAGGUAGAGAGGUAGAAGGUGGGGGUCAGGGGUAGAGGGUAGGGGGUGGGGUGUGAGGACAUCCUCUUGGAGACAGGGGGAAGAGGAAUGGAAUGAGGAACUGUCAGAGGGCAGACCAGGAGGGGGAUAACAAAUGGUCUGUAAAAAUAAUUAAAGAUAUUUUAUUUU